AACAAAAUGGGGAUGUGGGGACUCUUAUAUUAGGACUAUUUCGUGAUAAGUGUCCUAUUACUAUUCUAAUGGGACUUUCAGCCUUAAAAUGUCUUCGUAUGAAGCAUUCCAUUAUAAAUAACACAAUCAAUGACUACGACAUACACAAUACGUAGUCUAUUUGCAUAUUUUUUAAUUUUAAGAAAAAUUAAAAUAAUACUUCUGUGAGAGAGUUUAAGCAAGUUUUGCAUAAUUUUUAUUUUUAUCAAAAAAUUAACAGCAAUUUUUAUUUCUAUUAAUAAAAAUAUAAACGAAUUAUUUUAUAAGAAAUUAAAAGCAAUUUUCGCAUUUUUUGAUAAAUAAGAAAACUAUACUAUUUGUUUUUCCCAAAAGAACUAACAAAUCAAACUCACGCAAACUUGGAACCCCAAAUCAAAACCCCAAAUUUGGAACCCCAAAUCCAAUUCGCGGCAAGGAAAAUUGUAUCUUCAUUGGUGCCGGCGUUUCUACCGAGAUCGGUGGCCGCCGACAGAAGACAGGCAUCGUCAUCAUCCUCAUCUUCACCAUCUUCUUCUCCCAAAGCCAAUAAGAAAGUCACGGACAAUCGUCUCACUUCCGUGAUUGAUGCCGUCAAUGACCGCAAACUGCCGCCGGAGCUCCGCGGACAGCGCAACAACGUCAGGUAUAUAUCUAAGCUCCAUUCCUCAAGUGACUUGCCACAAGGUGAAAAGAUUGCUCUUUCAAAUUUGUUACUCGAAUGCAAACUCAAAUUUAGUUAUAUCAGAGAGAUUCUAGUUACUCGGGGCUGGAAAGUCCAUCGCUGAAAUAAAGAAAACCUUCAAGGUGCGGUUUGCAGGGUCAAGUAUUCCCCCCCCCAAGAAGAUGCCGUCUGUGGACGCGCCCUCCUCCAGAGACGUCUCUGUGAGCAAUGCCAGUGACAUUGAAUCGAAAUGGAUAGAGGUGGAUGAGCCUGGUGUAUACAUCACCAUCAAAUAGCUUCUUGAUGGCACUAGAGAGCUUCGCCAUGUCAGAUUCAGCCGUGAAAAAUUUGGAGAGGUGCAUGCCAGGCAUUGGUGGGAAACUAACAGGGACAGGAUACAAACUCAGUAUCUUUGCUAGAACCAAGAUAUAGAACGUGGAUCCUUGGUCAUGCAUGCUAUUGUUGCUGCCAUUACACUUUCAGAUCUUCAAGGUGAUCAACGAUGAUGAUGAUGAUGAUGAUGAUGUUUGAAGAAGAUUGAUAUGGUCUAGGAUUUGGUGAUAUACAACAAUGCAUUGCUUGGCCGUAUUCCAAUAGAAUGGGAUGAAGAACUAAUUAGGUCGUAUUCGAAUUUGUCUACAAUUGGAGACUCAAUCGGAACAUGCAUUGCUUGGCCUCGCCACUUGGUGAAAGCUAAUGACGAUUUGGAUUGAUGAGAAGUUGAAUAGCUUUAAAAGUGGAGCCUAGAGGUCCAUUCUAAAACAGUUGGUACCAAAGAGAACCUAUUCCAAAACAGUUGAUGUAAUAUUCACUAUGUAAUAAGCUUCUUUACUCAUGAUUGAGUUCCUUACCAGAAUAUUCCUUGGUGAUGUUUGAAAUUUCAAAUUUGAAAUAAAGCAUUGUUAUAUUGGGAUUAA